CAAUAACAUUGCCUCUGCAUUCCCAGGGCACAGCCAAUAUCGCUUAUUAACAGAAGAGAGAUUCAUUACUAUAAGAAGCAGCAUCCCCUCUUCAUAAAUUCACAGCUCAAUGACAGGCAGAGGAUAACCAACCUCAAAGAAAUGAAGCAUGGAAAAAUCUCAUGUCUUUAAGCUGGAAACAAAGAAGUGAACCGGCAGCUCACGACAAGUAAGCUCUUCGCAAACUACCAGCAAGUGUCUGCCACCCACAUGGGGCCAUGGACUAACUUCAAAAA